CAAUCUCAGUUCGGAUUGUAGUCUGCAACUCGACUACAUGAAGCUGGAAUCGCUAGUAAUCGCGGAUCAGAAUGCCGCGGUGAAUACGUUCCCGGGUCUUGUACACACCGCCCGUCACACCAUGGGAGUCAGUAACGCCCGAAGCCGGUGACCCAACCUAAACAGGAGGGAGCCGUCGAAGGCGGGACGGAUGACUGGGGUGAAGUCGUAACAAGGUAAC
rnacentral:rRNA from 1 species